UGACGUCGUCGGUUGGUUUCUCCGCCAUGGUUAGGAGGAGGAGGAGGCUGGUGACGCAAACAGAAAACCCUAACGGAACAGAGUGUCGGUUGUUGUCUGAUUUUGAAAAGUUUUGUCUUUUUGAUUUUUAUUUUUUGUUUUUGUUUUUUAAAAAGUGGAUCAAAGUGAGAAAGAUAUUUUAUUAGUGUUAGGUGAAAUGAUUUGAGAGAGAAGGAAGAAGAAGGGACACGUGGGUGUGGGGGCACAAGAGGUGAUGGGUAGUUGUUGGUGGGUCACUGACGGCAUGAUUCCGUGUAGAUCUGAGAGACACGUUUCUAAUUGGUAAGAGUAAGAGAGUGCUUAACCCUACAUACUUAACCCUUUGCUUUAAUUAAUGACGAUGUUGGUUUUAG
rnacentral:lncRNA from 1 species